GUCCACGCCGUAAACGAUGUCGACUUGGAGGUUGUGCCCUUGAGGCGUGGCUUCCGGAGCUAACGCGUUAAGUCGACCGCCUGGGGAGUACGGCCGCAAGGUUAAAACUCAAAUGAAUUGACGGGGGCCCGCACAAGCGGUGGAGCAUGUGGUUUAAUUCGAUGCAACGCGAAGAACCUUACCUACUCUUGACAUCCAGAGAACUUAGCAGAGAUGCUUUGGUGCCUUCGGGAACUCUGAGACAGGUGCUGCAUGGCU
rnacentral:rRNA from 1 species